UACGUAGGGGGCUAGCGUUGUCCGGAAUCAUUGGGCGUAAAGAGCGUGUAGGCGGCUCGGUAAGUCCGCUGUGAAAGUCCAGGGCUCAACCCUGGAAUGCCAGUGGAAACUGUCGAGCUAGAGUCCGGAAGAGGCGAGUGGAAUUCCUGGUGUAGCGGUGAAAUGCGCAGAUAUCAGGAGGAACACCAAUGGCGAAGGCAGCUCGCUGGGACGGUACUGACGCUGAGACGCGAAAGCGUGGGGAGCAAACAGG
rnacentral:rRNA from 2 species